rnacentral:rRNA from 1 species
CCUACGGGAGGCAGCAGUGGGGAAUAUUCGGCAAUGGGCGCAAGCCUGACCCAGCAACGCCGCGUGAAGGAAGAAGGCUUUCGGGUUGUAAACUUCUUUUGACAGGGAAGAGUAGAAGCCGGUACCUGUCAUAUCAGCCUCGGCCAACUACGUGACAGCAGCCGGGGUAACUCGUUGGGGGCAAGCGGUGUCCGGAUUUAAUGGGUGGAAAGGGCGUGUAGUCGGGUUUGUAAGUCAGUUGUGAAAUCCUGGGGCUUAACCGCAGAACUGCAUUUGAAACUGGUGAUCUAGAGUACGAGAGAGGCAAACGGAAUUCCAUGUGUAGCGGUGAAAUGCGUAGAUAUAAGGAGGAACACCAGAGGCGAAGGCGGUUUACUGGACAGAAACUGACGGUGAGGCGCGAAAGCGUGGGGAGCAAACAGGAUUAGAUACCCGAGUAGUC